rnacentral:lncRNA from 1 species
ACACCAUAUGAAAUGCUGAAAUGUAAUCUUUGGAUAACCCUGACGACAUUAUGAAUUGACCACAAACAUAGUAAUAAGAGGUUUUGUUGUAUGCAUUCAGAAUCCGAAGGAUAGAGCCAUCCUCUGUUGUGAAGCAGUGGCCUUUGUUCAUCAGUGUCUGUGUUAUGGCGGAUUCAUGAGUUUGAUGAGAUCUGAAUUUGAGAGCUUAGCAUGAUAAAGAACUAAAAACUAACCAACAAACAAAAACAAAACCAGAACUUCUGCACGGGGAAAAUAGUCCCCAUGAGAAAUGAUAUGAAGAUGCUUCAAUAACUACAGGUAAUUUUGUUAUGAUUACCUCAGUUUUUCAUCUAUUUGCUCUCAUGGACUAUAACCCAGAGCCUCUAAGUAUUGGAAAUAACU